GACAACGCUGGCGGCGUGCUUAACACAUGCAAGUCGAACGGUGAACCAGAGCUUGCUCUGGGGAUCAGUGGCGAACGGGUGAGUAACACGUGGGCAACCUGCCCCAGACUCUGGGAUAACCUCGGGAAACCGAUGCUAAUACCGGAUACGACCACUUCGGACAUCCGACGGUGGUGGAAAGUUUUUCGGUCUGGGAUGGGCCCGCGGCCUAUCAGCUAGUUGGUGGGGUAAUGGCCUACCAAGGCGACGACGGGUAGCCGGCCUGAGAGGGCGACCGGCCACACUGGAACUGAGACACGGUCCAGACUCCUACGGGAGGCAGCAGUGGGGAAUAUUGCACAAUGGGCGAAAGCCUGAUGCAGCGACGCCGCGUGAGGGACGACGGCCUUCGGGUUGUAAACCUCUUUCAGCAGGGACGAAGCGAAAGUGACUGUACCUGCAGAAGAAGCACCGGCUAACUACGUG
rnacentral:rRNA from 1 species